ACUUCACGCUUGUUAUGCUAUAUUCUACGCGGUGGGAUAUGAUUUGUCAAAUGGGUUGCUAUCGUCCAAGCGACGCAUUUUCACGACUGGUGACGGUAACCACAGCGGAGUUGACGUAAUCGGUGAAUCCGUACUCCCCGACGACGGUGCCAUUAGCGAAUCUCUCCUCGAAUCUGAAGUGCUCGUUGCCCGCCGCGUCUCUCGCGUUGUCGUAUCCGAAGGCGUAGCUUCCAGUCUCCUGAAUUUAUACACCCGUGACUUCCGCAUCGCUGCUUCUGAAGGGCUUCGACCAUCGGCUCUUGGCAUCCGAUCCAUUGGGCGAUUCGGCUGGUCCAGUAUCGGGAUUUGAAUUAUCCCGCCGCUGUAAGCUUGCGGAAGUAACGAGGAUCGCGGAGCUUGCGGUCGAACUGAUCAGCCAGUAGCAGAGCCACGUUGCUUUCAAGAGCUGCAUGACGCACGUUUACUUUGCGAGACCGAACGAACAGUGGCUUAAGAAUCCAGGAUCCGCUGGCGAGAGUGCCGACAGCCUCUUUUUUCCUCGAACGAAGCUCAAGAGCUCAAGAAUUUCGCGCCUUCGCGACGAGGACGACGGCGGAAAACUCGCUGCUAUAUACUGCUUGCGGAAAUUAAGGAGAGUCAUAAAACUUGCGAUGAUGACCGAAGGAGCGUUUGCGCCCCCGCUUUUGCCGGCCAAUCAAGCUCGAGUAAAUGUGCCAUUCGGGAGAGACUGCAUAGUUAUUUAUAAUCUGGGAACGACACGAGAAUUGGGAGGAACUACUCAGGGCUAAUAUUGGUUGAUUGCAAGCUAAUUAAAUUUCCGCCGACUUUUAUCCCCGCUCUCGGCAAACUCCUUGUAAUGAGCUUUCCUCGUCUUGGCAUCGUAUAAUCGAACGGAGCGAGUCUAAAAAUCGAUUAUCUGGCCUGCAUAAUGAACGAAGAGUUGGGUGACGUUUUACGAGGGAAAAGUCUCGUCAAGUCCCUAGCGCGCAUGGAUGACGAAUUAAGCAGUGACUAAAGUAAACGCAUAUUAUAAACCUCGACAAAGCAAACUUUCUGAAAUUCGAAUUUCAAAUGCAUCGCGCUUG